rnacentral:lncRNA from 1 species
AAUGAGAAACAAUAUUCAGGUCAGGUCAAAGCCUAGAGAAAAAUGCGCAUUCAGAAGUGGGCUGCCAUCCUGCUUUUUCUGAAGUGAACAGCUGCUGGGUAUUGAAACCAGCCCUCACGGUUGGGUCCCUGCCACCAUGGCAACACUCUGGUUUCUGAGCUGGAGUGGCCAAGGCACAAUGGGGUGGUUCCAUGGCCCAGAAGCACUCUAGCUACAGAUUAGUUUAUUUCAGGACUAUAUUAAGUUUCCCAACUUCUGUCAUGAUAUAGUCCAAAGAGAACCUGGACCACGCAGACAUCAAACAGAACAUGACACUGACCCAUUCUAUCAGUGACGUUGUGCUGAUUGCACAGGACAGAUGAGAGGCUCGUAUACUAGAAGUCUUGUCAUAUGAUACUUCAAAAUCUGUGAUUCCAUGAAGCCAAGAGUAGCUCUUCAACAGGAAAUGAAUGAGUGCUUCAGCUUCUGAUCCCAUUAGUAAGAAAAUACAGUCUUAUGAGCAAUGAUGGAGCUGCAUCUCUUAGGGGCAUUUGAUUCCCAAGAGACCAAAGAGCAAAGAGAAUGUCAAUUUAAAAAAAUCAAAUGUUUCCAUGACUUAGCUAUUUAACUGCUUUAAAAUGAAUGAAUGCUGCUUCAAGUUCUUUCAAAUACCCCACAUCUUGGCAACAACGAAAGGAAUUAACAUGAAGAAAAUUUACAAUCUUUCAUCACAUCGAACAAUGUCCCACAUUUGAAAAGUUCACAGCACAGAUUUCUGGUUACUGAAAGAAAGGAAAGACCUUCUUUGGAUUUGAAUAAACAGAUGGACUUUCUUCUCCUUUUUCUUAUAGUGCCCGAUUUGUGUAAAGGGAGGUGGGAAGAAAACAUCUUAGCUUAAAAGAGUGUCCUAUAAAAUAAAAGGUUUCAUACUUGCCUAUAGCUAAUCU